AUCCAGUUGACGAGUCCAAAAUAGGAGAAAAUGCACAUCUUAGAU
rnacentral:hammerhead_ribozyme from 1 species